AGAAGAGUUGGUGUUAUUGUUUUUUUCUAAGAUUUAUAGAGCUGGCUUUUAAUACUCUAUUCUUUUUUUUUUUUUUUUUGGUACCAGAGAUUGAACUCAGGUCCUUGCGGUUGCGCAGCAUGCGGCGAAACCACUGAGCUAAAUCCCCGGCCCCUCUAUUCUUAAUUGUAUGGGUAAUAUAUUUAAAACAUACGUGGCAGCUACAAUUCUCGUUCUAUUUUGAGCAACUUUGGAUGCCCCUCUUCUGUGCGUAUAAGGUGCUAGGCAAAUGCUCUACCCCUGAGCCACACCACCAGCCUGUACUGCUCAUUUGGAGAUGAAGAUGAAACCUUCCUAACCUCCCCUCCUUUAAAUCCUAAAGAAUUGUCUGCUAGAAAUAAUCCUCGCCCUCCUCAUGCCUAUAAUCCAAGCACUAGGGAGGCUGAGGCAGGAGGAUUACAGCAAGUGUGAGGCCAGCCUGGACUAUAUAGUGGGAUCCUGUCUCAAAAGACAAACAAAAAACAAACACAAAAGCCAAAUGUAGGCAGCAGGAGGGCUGCUAUAUUCUGAGUGCUCCUUCGUGUCAUAAAUCGUCCCUGCUGGUUUGGCAGAGAGAGAAGAGGAAGCCAUUUAUAUCUGGGAGUUGGGAGGAAGGGGCGUGUCUCAGCCAGGUCAGAAGCUGCGGUUUCUGGGUCCGACAAGCAGUGAAGCGGCAGAGCCCAGAGCUUGUGCUACGUGUCAGGCAGCCAGCACUGCUGCAGGCCCCAGGGGCACAGGGGACAGCCGAGGACCAGAUCACCGAAGCACUGCCUCUUAAAGCAGCUCUCGGCUGCCCCUCAGUCAAACCGAGACUGCAGGCUUUGUGGGAGUAGCUGGGGACACAGCGUGAAGUUAGGUGCAGG
rnacentral:lncRNA from 1 species